GACGAACGCUGGCGGCGUGCCUAACACAUGCAAGUCGAACGGAAAGGCCCUGCUCUUGCGGGUUUCUCGAGUGGCGAACGGGUGUGUAACACGUGAGUAUCCUGCCCUUGACUUUGGGAUAUCUUCAGGAAACUGCGGCUAAUACCGGAUAUGAUCUCCUGCUGCAUGGUGGUCGUUGGAAAGUUUCGGCUGUUGGGGAUCGACUCGCGGCUUAUCAGCUUGUUGGUGGGGUAGUGGCUUACCAAGGGUUUGACGGAUAGGCGGCAUGAGAGGGGGGCCGGGGUCAAGAGGACUAAGGGAGGGAGCAGACGGGAAUGGGAGGCAGUGGGGGAAAGUAUGGCACAGUGAGGGGGAGCGUGAGGCAAAGGUGCUGGGAGCGGGAUGACGGGCUACGGGGGAUGAACAGCUGUGGCCGGAGACGAGGAGGGAGUGACGGUAAUGGGUAAAGAAGCACCGGCUAACUACGUG
rnacentral:rRNA from 1 species